ACGCCUGUAAAAUUUGCAAAAUGAGUAUCCGAUUUAGAAAGCGUUAUGGGAGUUUUUUCACAAAAGAUAUCAGGCAAUUUUAACAUCUUUAUAUAUUUAGCUAACUUUGAGUAUUUAUAAUUAGAGCAUAAAACUAUAAGCAAAAUGAAAUCCACAAGCCCUAGCAGCUAAGACCUUCUGCACGUCUAGGGUGACAAUGAUAUUUACAGUGCAUGAGAGAUAAUAAUUUUGUUGAAAGAUUGAAUGAAAGACACCUGUUCUAUGUAGGGAAAGGGAAGUACAGUUAAUUAUGACGUGUUUAAAGUCUAUCACUGAAUUUUUGGCAAGAAUUUUUGGCAAGAAUUUUUGGCAUAUGUUGGGGAAGGAUUUGUCCAUGUAGUGGUGGCAUCUUUAGGUGUUUUGUCGACAUUUUCAUUGCUAAUAUGCCAUUGUGACUGGGGUUCCAGAUUAGUUAAGUUUUUGGAAAGUGUUUAGAAACAAGGUUUCUUAUGCUAUUAAAAACUUUAUUCACAUGAGUUUGUAUAACAACGAAAAAAGGUGUCAUGGUUAACUCACUUAGGUAUUUACAUGGCUUUAUAUGACGAUAUAACAAUUAGCUUACAUAUCAUUUCUACGGUUCAUUUUUGUGAUCAUUGCAAUGUUUAUAAUUUUCAAUAAAUUAAGAAAAAAUGAACUGCAUAAUUCCGGCAAUAAGCAAAUCAUAUUUUCUGGUGAGUGUGCUCAAGUAAAUUUUCUCACAAAAUACAAACGUCUAUCUGCUAUAAAUUACUCAUCUUUUGGAUGAGACUUCCCCAUUGUAUUCCAAAUUGAAAGGUCGAAACCAUAAACAUGAAUCCUUGAAAGCGUUCUACUUUGCCAAACGAAAUGUACUCAUAUUUAUUUAAAUUUUUAUGGCCAGAAAAACAAUUCGAUUUCCCGAGCAGAGUCGUAAAUGCAGUGCAUCAAAAGUUGAAUCAACUUUCGUAGAAGAGAUUCGCCUGGCAGCUCGCCUCGAUUUGCUUUUAUAAGAGCUAGUAAAUGAUUUAAAAAUUUUGUGUUUAUCUUGCUAAAACGCGAAAGUAAACAGCCAGAAGGCAAACGCCAAAGCGGAGCGUAUCCAGCAUGGUUCGGUUGUUUAUGCGGAUUUCCGCUGAACCCGCCUAGACAUCUCUUCAUUUGGCUGGAUGGUUGGAUGGCACAUGCACGCCACCGAACGACGAUGAUAUCAUCGUCCGCGACUCCGGCGCUUCUUUGGGGCCGCUGCUAUCUGGGAACCAGCGAAGAACAACCCAGCCCAGCCCAACCCAAUCCAACCCCACAACAAUGGCGGGGCGUCGCGAGUGGAGUUGUCGUCUCCACUCGCGCCGUAGUUGCAAAUGCCGAUAAGCAUUCUUUGGCGCAAAAGCAACAGCUCGUCGAAAGAAAAGAAAGUAAAGGAACAGGCCCACAACAAAAGGCGCUAACUCUACUCUAUCAAUGCACAGCCCAAAAAAUCGAACCGAGUCACAUUCCAAUUGUAUAUUGUAUGGGCUCUUAUCUGCGCGAUAUUCAUUCAGCACGGCUUAUUUUAUUGGCAUAUUUUUGGAAGCAAGCUAAUAGCUAGUUUGCUUAUCAAAGUUUUCAACGGCAGAACACAAGCGACAUAGUUAACUCAAAAAGUCGACGGUCUGCCUUUGCUGGAUUAUAUUCACGGCAACACAAACUACCUACAAGCCAUUUGUAAACGAUUUUUUAAACAGCCAUAACUUAUUCAACAAUUACAUUUAGUUUUAAAAAAGUUUAGUUUAUUUCAUGAUUGUUACUGUCUCAUAUCAUGUUUAAAGAACAAAUAUUAUAUUAUUAGUGUUUCCGAUGCUAAUUCUUCUUUUUUUUAUUUUCCAGUGUAUUCCCCCCACCUCCCCUCUCGCAUUUGAUAACAGAGCCCGUUUGAGGAGGGGGCAUUAUACAAAUCAAAUGACCGAUUCUCGCCUGUGUCUCUCUAUCGUUCUCUCCUCUUUCCCUAACGCGGCAUAUGUUAAUUCAAAUUUUUUACUGGCCGAGCUUCAAAGUGACUUCUUUGCCGUUGCUUUUAGAAUCCAAAAGCAAUUUCCAUUUCGCAGUAAAACGCAUAAAAAAACAAAAGCAGAAGAAGGCUAGAAAGAGCGAGCGAGACGACGCCGGGUGGGCCACACAAUUUGUAAAUCUGGAACGCAGCCAAUUAAUUAAUUAUGAACAAUUUUGAUAAGCUGACCGACCGACCGGCAGGAAAAAGGGGUUUUGCGAAGAGACAACGCCCACGCGUGACCAUCCGCAAAUCAAGUUGACGACAAUGUCCAAUGGCAUUUUGUGGUAUGCAAACAUUUUUGACACGAGCUAUUCCAUCAGCGAAAUUCCCUCGAUUCCCCAGACUUUGGGCCUUAAUGUCAGCAGAGCAACGGAUUCUACGCUAUUUCCAUUUGCAUGGCCAACCCGAAAAGCGGUGAAAAACGCGAAAAGAAGAAAAAACAAAUGCAUGCUAAGUUUAGCCUUUUGUUUUGGCACGCCAUUGAGCGGCAUUUUCAGCCGUUGCACGCCAAAUGUUAUUCACCUCGCCGCAUUACGUAUACGCCGCGUAGCAGACCCCAGCUGCAGCCAGAAGCCAACAGCGACUUGUUGAGACGGCUUUCAGACUCUAGGCCGCCAGCUUAACGUGGCUCAUUACGCGGCAGUUUGCCAGGCGCCAAGCUCCAUUUCGCCCCCGCUUUCCCAACCAUCAAUGCACAUAAUUCUGGCUUAUAACUCAAUAGCCUGAAUAAUUCCUUUGAUGAAGAAGCAGGCUGAAGAGUUCCACGGAAAACCCUGCUUCAGAGGUAAGGCUUGGGGAUUUCAGGUUAACUAGUGGGCUAUUAGAUAUUCAAGGCAUAACUGAUUAAGUUAGAGAUGAACUUUGGAAAGACAAACAAAGCUUUGAUAACGAACUUUACUGCAAGCUUAAACUAAGCCCUGGUAAUGAGAUAUCCCUUUGAAAUUUGUGCUUGAUUGUUUGUUGAACUGCUAAAUCGUGAAAUAUUUAAUCAUACAUAAUUAUUUAUUCAAUACAACGAAUAUUUUACAUGGUUUUCUUUUCAUGAUUUUUCCUGCUCCCGGCUAAAUUUGUAGCUCUUUGUUUCAUUUCGAUAACAAGAACAAUAAUUGACCAAUUCAUUGUAUUUUAAAAUACGUUUUAAGAAACAUUCCUCGGCACUCAUUGACCUGCCGCCUUAGUAUACAAUUAUUCGGGAAAAAGCAAUUGUGCAUAUAUUAUAAUUGAAAUGCCAAAAUAGGCGAGCCAACCGCUUGAGUUCAAUAAAUUACAAAUUUGGAUUAGCGCCACAAGAUAAAAGCGCGAAGAACAGACAUAAAACAUAUGAUAUAUGUACAAUAUGCACACAUAUAUAAAGUAUAUAUACCUAAACGUGCCUAUAUCCCACCGAUUUCGAGGCAGUUGCUCUGUGUGAAAUGUUCUAAAAUAUUGCAGAGCCUUUAAACAUUUCGAUCGUAUCUAUUUCUCUUAUUUUUUCUAGGCGAAAAGUUCUCAUGUGGCUCAAUACCAUUUCGCCACUAAAAUGCUUGGCAUAUUUUUGCCAAAUUGUAUAACGAUUUAUACAGCGCCGUUUGAGUAGGCGCUUUUGGUCAGCAAAUUGUUUCCGACUUUCAAUAUAUUUUUAUUUCUCACUUUUUUCCACUAGGCCAGGUGGGACCAGUCAACUGGAAGUGUGAAAAAUAAUGAACACAAGCUAUUCCAGAAUGAAAAAUAAACAAACCGAAAGAAAAUCCAAACGGAAACCAGAAUCUAGGCAAUUUCCUUAUGAUUCCCAUAAUUUAUGGUGUACUUGCGAAAUGACAUUGUAAUUAUUAAAUUUAAGAAAACAAACGGAUAUUAACUCUUAUGUAGAAUGAAAUCAAACUUAGAAAUAAAUUUUACAAAGCUUGUCCUUGCUUUUAAAAAAUCGUAUCUUUUCAAUGUUUAUUUACCCAAGAUUUCAAGUGUGAAUAAGCUGAUAUGAUAAUCAGUAUUCACAGUAUUUCACAGUAUAAACUUUCACCUGUGCAGUUUUCGAUUCUACGAAGUUUUCGUUGAUAAAAAAUAUAUAGUUCUAAAAUACGCUAGAAAUCGUAAAUGAGUAAUACAAAUUCUAAGAACUAUCUAAAUGAUUUGUAUAUGGAAAACAUUUCCUGCUGGGAAAUAUUAGAAGUUAGUACAAUUUGAAAAAUGUUUCCAGGAACAAAUAUAACAAUACUUCCAUUAAACACGUAUAGAAUUAAACAUAUUUUUCCGCCGAACUAUUUCUGAACUCAUGUCGUCAUGGGUUGGCAAAAAUAAUCGUAUUUUUCGUAUAGUUCCCGCUGGUUUCGGUUGGUUUAUCCAUAAAACAGCAGAUUUCAAAUCGUGUGUGUGCGGCGCGUGCGAGCCAAAUGUACAUAUAAUAAUUAUAAUAAUCGGGCAGCGGCAGAAUUGGCAACCAGAAAUGAUGGAAAAUAAAAGAUUGGAUAGGCCCAAGUCGAAGGAACUCGGUUGUAAAACGAAGCAUUUUUAAUGGCAUACAUUUCGCGUCUGGCUAUGGCUAGAAAUGGUAUUAUGCAACGCACACACAUCACAUACUGACAGCAGAAACAGAUACAGAUACAAAUGCGAGAUGCGGACUGCGGACUGCAGACAUCACAUCAAAUUGUAUCUGGCAUAGAGCGAAUUUUCAUUUUGAUCAUUCGCAUUCGUUUGUUAUUUUGGGUGUAAAGCACGAAACGAGAAAUAAAUCAAAUCAAGUGUAGCGACCGCAUCCAUUUAUAUACAACCAAAACCAAACAGAUACAUCCAGAGAGAUCAUUCUUGAGGAUAUUCGAUUUGUUGUAUCUGUGAGUCUGUAUUCUAUAUUCCGUAGUCUGUAGUCUGUAGCUGUGCGUUUCAACAGCUGUCCGUCCCGUCAGUCCGUCGAGAACCGGGCCAAGGUUAGAAAACACGUCAAUAAAGCGCGUUAGCCGACAGCAACAAAUCUACCAGCGCUCAUGCUGUGUGUAUUUCUCAUUUUGGAUUUGGGAAAACUCACGCAACUUUUCCCAACUCCCCAAACACACCGAUCCGCUCGCUCCGCCGAUCAGGACUCGUCAUCCAUCCGCGACUCACGAUCGUCAUGUCAGCAGAUCGGCAAUUGUUACGAUUAUUAUGCACUCAGCACUGACUAUAGCUCAAUUUAGCAGAAGUCUUGACAGAAUAAUUUCUUAAUUUAUGCGGCGCCAGUUGGCCUGCCCCUGUUCCCCUUUCCCCCACCCUACAGAAAUCGAAAUAUAUCAAUUGCUAAUUGGCAGAACUGUAUGUAUAUAAAUCAAUUCUUAAUUUGAGCAAAUCAUUGAUAGAGGCUGAUUAAUGAAGAAACACAGAUUCGCACUCAGGGGACCAAAACCUGAUUAGAUGUUUAAAAGAGUUUCUAGUAUAUAGAUGGGUAAAUUAGGCAAAACGAUAGUUUUAUUCACAAAAGAACCAUAAAAUAAGUAUAGUUUUUUGAUUUGCUCUUAAUAGUUUCCCUUCAGAACUACAAAAUGAUUCAUUUGAUUAUAAUUAACGCACUAAAACCAAAUACAUAUUGCCGUAAAGCCCACGUAUUUCCAAAAGUUCUUAUUUUAGCACUCACAUCUAAUUCAUGUGAACUGGUGUGGGCCUUGAAAUACAAUUAUAUAAAAUAUAUUUCGAAUAAAAAGCGCCACACUAUCCUUGAACUGUAUUUAAAUGUAGAUUUCUGAGUCUGAACGAACGCCUGUAAACAGCCGUAAUUUAUUGCCAUUUCUUUGAUCAUUUCCCACUUGUCCCCCAGCGAGUUUGAACGUCAUUGCACGCAGCCAGCUUGUAGGCCACAUGAAAAUCAAAGUCAGCCAGCGGCAUGGAUACACGGUCACUUGCAACAGCCUCCUCCCCAACAUCCCCAUCCCCUCCAUCCUCGCGUUCCUAUCUUCCUCUCCAUCAGUCAACAUCAUUCAUAUGAAGACCAAGGUAGCGGCGGUACACAGUGGAACUGGUGGCCGCCUGUGAUUUCCUAAAUAUUUUAUGUACUUUAGAACUAGGUUUCUCACUUCUGAUUAAGUUCUAUCGCGACCCAGCAGUUCAUUCCCUACACUUGUUUAUCAAGUGAAUGUUGAUGUUGACGCAAUACACAUUACAAUCUCACUCGCGUGCAUAACAAGUAUUUAUCACUAAGUUCAAAGUUUAUGUUCAUUUCAUUAUACAUUUUCAAUAAUUCAUGAUUUAAUAGUUCCGGCGAUUUUCAGACAUUAAUUUGCAUAUCCGCUGGAAUGAGUUAUGUUAAACUAAUAAAUACUUCUUCGCAUACUCAUAAAUGUUUAAUUAACACAAAGAUAAAUCUUUAUUGUUAAUGUAUAUUAUCAGUUAAAGUUCGUUCGCUUUGAUGCUCAAAUCCAAAAUUUAUGUUAAUUAUUUUUUCUAAAUACUCAGUUGUGUAUCAAAUGUUUAAUAUUACUUGACAACCGAUUAGUUGAGGCGACAGAAGAAUGCCCCCUGCCAGAGAAUACAUUUUGGAACCAUUUCCAUGGGACUUGAAACCACUGUGGCCCAUCCUGUCCGCAGCCGUCGUGUCGCAUGCCAUUGAAAAUGUGGUGCAGGUGUGGUGCUGUCGUUGUCAAUGCUCAUGAAUGGAAGGCCCAAACGUAGAAAACACUCACCUGCAUGGGUAUAUGUGAAUGCGAAUGUGACUGUGAAGUUGGUGCGGCAUGGGCCAAAGGAAAGCGACUAGGCAGAGAAAGGGCGGGGGAGGACUUUUGCAGCUAUUAGAGGACUUCAGAAACGACAACGGCAAGUGAAGCAAAUAGCCGCAGGUUGCGGCCGCACUUGCACCGCAAACAAUGUGGCAGCCGCUGUUGCUGUAAUUACAGUGCACUCCCAGACAGUGAAGCCUCUCCGUAAUGCCCGCCCAUCCCGCACUCGGCAAAUUAGCAUCUGGUUAACAAGUGCGCCGCGGUUAAACGGUGAAAAUCUACGACUCUUCGCUGGCGCAGCAUAAUUAGAAUCAAUUAUAUCGAAUUGGAGCAGAGCAGAGCGCACAGUGAGUGCAAGAUGGGUGUGGACAGGCGGCACUCUUGGAAAUAAUCUUAGGAAUUUGAUUGGGAAUCUCAGAGGAAACCAUUUCGGCGAUACGUAUUUCAUUUUUAAAUUUACAACGUGGUAGUUAUUACCAUAUGAAAUUUGAGAGUACAGUGGUGCCCAUCUUGCACUAAGAAAUUUGCAUAAAAAUGGGAAAAUUCUCGAGGCUAAUUUGUUUUAAUAAGUAAUCAAAAACCCAAAUAAUUUUUGUGUUCCUCCAACACAAGUUAAUAUCAUUUGAAG